UUACUGGGCGUAAGCGCACGCAGGCGGUCUGUCAAGUCGGAUGUGAAAUCCCCGGCCUCAACCUGGGAACUGCAUUCGAAACUGGCAGGCUAGAGUCUUGUAGAGGGGGGUAGAAUUCCAGGUGUAGCGGUGAAAUGCGUAGAGAUCUGGAGGAAUACCGGUGGCGAAGGCGGCCCCCUGGACAAAGACUGACGCUCAGGUGCGAAAGCGUGGGGAGCAAACAGGAUUAGAUACCCUGGUAGUCCACGCCGUAAACGAUGUCGAUUUGGAGGUUGUGCCCUUGAGGCGUGGCUUCCGGAGCUAACGCGUUAAAUCGACCGCCUGGGGAGUACGGCCGCAAGGUUAAAACUCAAAUGAAUUGACGGGGGCCCGCACAAGCGGUGGAGCAUGUGGUUUAAUUCGAUGCAACGCGAAGAACCUUACCUGGUCUUGA
rnacentral:rRNA from 1 species